ACGAACGCUGGCGGCGUGCUUAACCCCUGCAAGUCGAACGGAAAGGCCCUGCUUUUGUGGGGUGCUCGAGUGGCGAACGGGUGAGUAACACGUGAGUAACCUGCCCUUGACUUUGGGAUAACUUCAGGAAACUGGGGCUAAUACCGGAUAGGAGCUCCUGCUGCAUGGUGGGGGUUGGAAAGUUUCGGCGGUUGGGGAUGGACUCGCGGCUUAUCAGCUUGUUGGUGGGGUAGUGGCUUACCAAGGCUUUGACGGGUAGCCGGCCUGAGAGGGUGACCGGCCACAUUGGGACUGAGAUACGGCCCAGACUCCUACGGGAGGCAGCAGUGGGGAAUAUUGCACAAUGGGCGGAAGCCUGAUGCAGCAACGCCGCGUGCGGGAUGACGGCCUUCGGGUUGUAAACCGCUUUCGCCUGUGACGAAGCGUAAGUGACGGUAAUGGGUAAAGAAGCACCGGCUAACUACGUG
rnacentral:rRNA from 1 species